GGAUGUGUGUGUGUGUGUUUUGUAUGUAUAUACUUGUGUUUAUAUGCAUGUGUGCAUGUGUUUUGUAUGCAAUUGUAUAUUUGUGUGUAUGUGUGAUGCGUAUAUGCAUAUGCAUGUGUCUUUUGUAUGUAUGUGUGUACAUGUGUUUGUGCGUGUAUGUAUGUUUUCAUGUAUGUGUGUAUGUGUGUCUAUGUAGGCUUUUGUGUGUGUGUGUGUGUGUGUAUAUAGUGCAUGAGUUUGUGUGCAUGUGUGUGUUCAUGCAUGUGUUCAUGCAUGUGUGCAAAUGUAUGUGCAUGCAUGUAUGUGUGUGUACAGUAGAUGCAUGAAGCAUACAGAACAAUGGAAUUAGGGUCCUACAAUUAACUUUAUUUAAAUCAAAGCCCCUUUCACUGCAGUGUACCAAAGCUCCUUCCUCCUUUUGCUGUCACCCCUAACAGAACAGCAGCAGGAAGCUGGCUAGGACUAUAAACAAUGGCCCAGCUCAGGUAUCCAUUGCUUCUGUCCUUUUGUUCUCCCAGGAGUAUUCUUUCUCUCUGUUCUCUUCCUCACAAAGCCCGGCUUAGUUAUCCAAGCUACUCAGACAGGUGGAGUGCCUGCUCAGCACAGACUGCUGUCUGGUUCUGGCAGGGGCAGGGAGGACGCAAUGGAGACAAGGAUCAGGUCUGUAAGAAGUCUAGAGGGCGGCAGGCCAGCAAAUAACCACCUUGGGUGAGAACAGAAGACAGAGAACACGGAAAAGGAAAAAGCAAGGGACAAAAUCAAAGGGACAUCCAAGCUGGGGGUGACAAGUACUCUUUUCCAACUAGAAAACCAAAGGCUUCAAUAAGGUAGGACUAGAAGAGAUGAAGCUGAGUGAGUUCUGGGCACUGCUCAGACGGCCCUGUUUCCUAGAGCCCUUCCUGAGCCCGACCCACAGAUUCAUUUGACCUAAGCAUUUCUCACACCCUGCAAAUGGAGCUCAGCCCAAAACUGCAUGAGCUUGUAGCACAUCCCGAUUUUCUGCCUCGGUUUCUGGUUAACUCUAUGUGGCUUUUCUUGACCUUUCAUUUGUAUGUACAGCAUCUCUCGAGAGCUGAGAGAUACUCUAAGCCCUUCCUGGACUCCAUCAUGGCCCAUGCUCAUGGCUGGCACCAGCAAAGAAGCUCAACCGACUUCUUUAUCGACAGAUAUUUAGUGAAGGGAUCCAGACUCCAGACUCGGCAGCUGCAAGGAGUCUUUCAGGAGUUCAGAACAACUUGCAAAUAUGGGGCACGCCAAUCAAUGCUUUCUAGCAAAUGUCAAGACUUACAGCGAGUGGGCUCACUUAAAUUGUCCAAAAUGAUAAAGACCCAAGAGGCUAUAUUGCUAUGACGAGUUAGGGUUAAAAACAUUCUUAAUGGAUGAGAAAAUUCUGUCUUGUUGCUGCUUUUGCUUGGUACUAGUGACACAGCCAAGUGCAUUUCUGUAAACUCAUGGGAGAAUCGUGGGGCUGGGCAUCUAACUCAGUGGUAAAAUGUUGAAUUGUACACCUAAAAGGAAUUAAUUUUGUCUUCUGUUUCAUUUAAUGUACAUGACUUGAGAGUAAACGCAGACAAGUAGCUCUGCUUAAAUUAUUAGUGGCUCCUGAACACUUGCUACUAGGACAGACUGCUAAGUGUCUGCCUUCUGGGGCUAAGAACUAGAUAGUCUAUACAAUUAUCAUCUCUAAGGCCAAACUUCCCACAUAGGUCUGUGCUAUUUUGGGAGGAAGGUGAGGUCCUCCAUCCACUCAAGGAUGAGAGCCCUCUGGAGACGUCCCAACUCUCAACUGCAGGCCCUCCAUAGAAACAGGGGAACCCCCACAUCUGAGAAGCUCUGUGGGUGUGUGUAGGUGCUAUCAGUCAUCUGCUUCUUUCCAUGGCACCUCUAGGUGCUAGAUAAUGAGUAACUAGUGCUAGAUAAUGACUGAAAAACAGCAAUAAAAUCCGACUUUUGGAGCACAACCUCUGAAAAGCCUCCCAACCCAACCCUAUAAGGAAAACACACAGCAGUUAUGACCCUUACUUUAGACAGUGUGUGUGUGUGUGUGUGUGUGUGUGUGUGUAUGUGUAUAUAUAUAUAUAUACAUAUAUAUUAUCAAGCAAAGGCCAUCGGCUAGAACAUGACAGGAUUUAAGAACAGCCUUACUUUGGCUCCAAAUUUCAAGUCUUUUGUGGCAAGGACUCCCUACAUAAAAGCAGCCCAGAUAGUUCAAACUGAGCUCUUCUUACUAAGCCCUCUUGAGACAAAACCUUUCAAAUCUCACCUUAAUGAAUCUUGGACUCAUGGCCAACAGUGAAAUUUCUUCUCAAUGGCUUCCUGUUUGGUGCCAGAAAUUGUCCACUGGGUCAGCAAGCAAGACAUCCACCAAGCUUGUCCAACCGAGUAAGGUCAGUCCCUCAUGCAAGGUCACCCUCCGGGAAUGUAACCUUAUCAGAGUCUAGUUGCUAAGGAUCCCAACAGUAUUAUUAUUCAUAGCCAGUUAGCGAUGGCCAGACCGGUUUGAUUGCUUAAAAGGUCAUUCUUGCUUUAUUAAGAAUUGUUGAGUUGGUGUAAGGCCCCGUCUGAGAAAGCAGCUCUCAGGCUUCAGAUGAACUGCCUUAAAGCAGAGACUAUUGGAACCAGAAAGGCCCUUGAGGGGAACUGCUCCCAUCAUUUUACAGUGUAAAAGGCUGAAAGGCUGGGGUGAGGUAAAUUGCCAGGGUUACCAGGUAGCUACAGGGCCACGCGAUGAACUUACUGACUGUGCAUGCAAAAACCAGACGAUCCACAUCACACUAUAAGAAAAACUGUAUUAGAAAGUUUGAGGGCUAAAACUGCUAAUACUGGCCCCGCUGCUCUGACACAGCCUACAGGGAGAAACUUCUCCUACUCAGAUGCAUGUUAAUUUGAUUUUGAAAAUGCAAUCAUCCUAUAUCCCCUCCAAACAGAGAGUGAUCAACUGCCUGUUUUAUUUGAUCCUCACAACUCCAUGGAGUAAGUGGAAUCUCUAGCCUCACCUUCAUUUUCUAGAACACUGUACCUUUCCAUUUUACAGAUAAUAAAGUAUGCGCUGCUUCCGACUCACAUAUACACUGUGUGGUGGUUUAAAUAACGAUGGACCCCAUAGGCUCAUAGGGCACUCUUAGGAGGCAUGGCCUUCUUGAGGCAGGUGUAGUUAUUGGAGGACGUGUCACUAGGGGCUGGGGGCUUUUCAGAAGCUCAAGGCAGGCCUAGUGGCUCACAGACUUCUGCUGCCUGCUGAUCCAGAUGUAGAACUCUCAGCUCCCUCUCCAGCAGCAUGCCUUCCUGCAUGCCACCAUGCUUCCUAUGCCAUGACGACAAUGGACUGAAUGUCUGAACUGUAAGCCAGCCCCAACUAUUUGCCAUUUGUUUCUUGUCUCUUCACAGCGAUAGCACCCCUAAGGCACACUGAGUCUCAGAUUUUAAGGAGUAUGAAUCAAAAACUGUAAAAGUAGGUCUAGAAUCCAAGCCGUUGAAGUGUUAAUCUAGGGCCCCAUCUCUAUCAAAUACAGCAAUCAUUCUUUGUAAAAUGUGGCCACUACUAGGUUGGGAGAGAAAGAGUCACACCGUGGUUAGGAACAUAAGGCCAGGGCUGAGUUCUAACCUGGGUCAGCUGUCUGGGGUAGCUAGCAUCAGGGCUAUUAUCUGGCUUAUGGUAGCAUUAGGCUACUCCUACCUCAAGUAGUUGAGGCAGGUGUAAGAAGAAGCAACAGUUUAGCUGGUACAGAGGGGACUCGUCAACCAGAGGGCACAGAGCAUCACAUGCUAUUGCAUAGAGCAGAGCACACGGGCCUCCUAGUAAAACUCUGCAGGGUUAGUCAGCGGCUCAGGGGUGCUAGGCUAGCAGGAAGGGAGAGUCUAGGUGUGGUGCUUAGUCCUAAGUUCUCCCACCAACCUCCUUCUCUACAGCUUGCCACACACUGUUGGACUAUUCAGGCCCGUUCAAGCUCAAACACAGGUCUGCACAUGAUAGGCCAACCUGAUAGGCCAGGACAGGUGAUGGCAGACAUGAAGGAGACUCCAGUGUGCUUUGCAUUGGAGGCAAUGGUAACAUGGUACUAGGGGCAGUUUCAAAAGAAGGAAAAAGAUCGCCAUGUGACUGAGAACAAGCAGGAAUUGGGGAGAAUGGAAGCAGAGUCAGGUGGGAAGCAAAGUCUGACUGUAAACAGUGUCAGAAACGGAAGAAGACAGAGAGGGCCCAAGGAUGAGGGCGGAGCACCUGAUGGUUAAUUAUCAACAGGUGGAGGUGAACGGGAAUGAGAGGAGGAGAGACAACCUCAUGGAAAAACGCCAGCCUUCUAAUAAAAAACCUUCGUAACUCUGGAAAAACAGCAGCCAAGCCCCACCACUUAUGGGUCCUGAUUAGCAGAUGGCGACUGUCCCACCUGUGUGACCCAGACCUGGGGGCCCAAGCUGCCAAACAGAACAAACUGUAUUUUCCUUUUGUUUCCUGUUGAUUAACUUUUUUCUAGAUUUUGAGACUCAGCUUAAAACAAACAGAACAACAACAACAACAAAACACUACUUAAAGCUAAGGUUGUGUAAUUCAGUACUGGAGUGUUUGUCCAGCGUACACAAGGUCCUGGAUUCACUCCCCAGCAACUCAGAAAUAGAAGAAAAGGGAAAGAUUAAAAGGCUCCUGAAACCCAACCUUUGCUUUACAUAAAGCUGAUCAAAUUGGAAGAAGCUGCCAGAAAAGACAGGCCUUUAAGACUCAACCUUAUGCAAAAGGGCAAAGAAUGGUCAGAAAUCCUACAUACUGAAGACCACCAAGAUGACAAGAAGAAAAGAAAAAAAGGAGAAAGAAAAGGAGAAAGUAUCCCCAACGGCCAGAAGAGGAUCUCAGAUUCGCUGGAACUGGAGUUACAGGCAGUGUCUGUGAGCUGCCCAGCAUUCAUACUGGGAACCAAACUCUGAUCCACUAAAGAGCAGCUGGCACUCCUAACUGCUGACAGCCCCCAAAUCUCAAUUUGAAACAUCUUCCCAAUAAUUUGAAUAAAAUCCAACUUUCUUAUUUACCAUGAUCUACUUAA